rnacentral:rRNA from 1 species
AUUGAACGCUGGCGGCAGGCCUAACACAUGCAAGUCGAACGAGUGGCGGACGGGUGAGUAAUGUCUGGGAAACUGCCUGAUGGAGGGGGAUAACUACUGGAAACGGUAGCUAAUACCGCAUACCAUCGGAUGUGCCCAGAUGGGAUUAGCUAGUAGGGGGGGUAAAGGCUCACCUAGGCGACGAUCCCUAGCUGGGCUGAUAGGAUGACCAGCCACACGGGAACUGAGACACGGUCCAGACUCCUACGGGAGGCAGUAGUGGGGAAUAUUGCACAAUGGGCGCAAUCCUGAUGCAGCCAUGCCGCGUGUGUGAAGAAGGCCUUCGGGUUGGAAAGUACUUUCAGCGGGGAGGCGUUACUCGCAGAAGAAGCACCGGCUAACUCCGUGCCAGCAGCCGCGGUAAUUC